UCUUCUUCUUUCCCUCUCUCUUCUUUUAAGAUUCCCGUCGCCCCUCCCUUUCCGCGUCGUAGCCGCCGGCCUGGUGAGAGGAGUGCUACCGCCGUCGCCUUCGAUUUCAUAAAUGUCGUCGUCGCAGUGGGAGGGGGUCUCCGCCGAUCUGCCGCUGCUGUCCUCCAGCCGGAGUUGCCGUCGCAGCUGCUCGUCGGGCGCCGCUGCUGCUCGCUGGAGUCGCCGGCCACCAAUGCUGUGUUCGCCGGCUCCCUCCAGCUCCGCCAGCGCCGCCGGACCCUGCGGCGGCGGCGACUCCGCCGUCCACCAGCCCCUCUGCCAGCGCCCUUCCUCCCCCGAAAAUACUCCGAACCACCCCGAUUCAACCCGCAAGUUACAUUUUUAUCACCAAGAUACGUUCUUUUGCGUUGUCGAUUAACUACGGCGAUGUUCGGUUCAUUGUUGAUUGUUUGUUUGAUUUAGUUAUUUGUGGGAGUUAUGGGUGAGAUAUGUGAUGAGAUACGUGCUAAAAACUUGUGCAUUCGAAAAUGGGUAGAGUUUAUACCUCAAAGGAUCGAACUUGUUUGCGGAGAAGACAAGGAAAUGCAGCAACCUCUUCUUCUCCUCUUUAAUUGAAUGGAAGAUUGGGUCGGAGUACUUUAAAUCAAUGGGUGACUUCACGCACGCUUUUCGAGGACGGAAUGGAACACAAGUUAAGGCUUUAAACGAACGAGGUUGAGCGGCGACGAGCUGGGUGGUGUUGAGCUAAAUUUGAAGUCUUGUUGGUUACUAUUUGAACUCCGAGUGUCGUCGUGUCUUCAUACACGACUUCACUCUUUCUCUUGAACGCUUCCGCUGAGAUAAUACUAUUUUUCGAAAUUAUAUUUUGAACCCCUUUUACUCUUGGAUUAUAAAUUAUGAAAUAGUAACUGUUUGUCGUUAGAUUUAAGACAUUGCUCUGAUUUUCCCUCCAUUAAUUGAAUAUUUAAUAUUUUGAUCAAA